UACGGAGGGUGCGAGCGUUGUCCGGAAUCAUUGGGCGUAAAGGGCGCGUAGGUGGCGGGACAAGCGUGCGGUGAAAGCCUGGGGCUCAACCCCGGGUCGGCCGUGCGAACUGUUUUGCUUGAGCACUGUAGAGGCAGGCGGAAUUCCGGGUGUAGCGGUGGAAUGCGUAGAGAUCCGGAAGAACACCGGUGGCGAAGGCGGCCUGCUGGGCAGUAGCUGACACUGAGGCGCGACAGCGUGGGUAGCAAACAGG
rnacentral:rRNA from 1 species